rnacentral:rRNA from 1 species
CAGCCGCCGCGGUAAUACGAAAGGGGCUAGCGUUGCUCGGAAUGACUGGGCGUAAAGGGCGCGUAGGCGGCCGCCAAAGUCAGGCGUGAAAUUCCCGGGCUCAACCUGGGGGCUGCGUUUGAUACUUGGUUGCUUGAGUGGGGAAGAGGGUCGUGGAAUUCCCAGUGUAGAGGUGAAAUUCGUAGAUAUUGGGAAGAACACCGGUGGCGAAGGCGGCGACCUGGUCCUUUACUGACGCUGAGGCGCGAAAGCGUGGGGAGCAAACAGGAUUAGAUACCCCAGUAGUCCCUGUCCUUAUACA